ACAUAGUAACCACAAGGUACUGGCAGAACCACGGCUAUUUUUAGCGGGGCAGAGAGAAAAACAAGUCAAGCGAGAGUUAAUUUUCAAAUUAACUGAAGGGUUAAAUCGAUAUAGAAGUAGUAACCAUCCUUCGUAAGAGACAUUCACGUAUAAGGACUUCUUGAUAAGUAUCUUACAGGACCUCUCCCUCCUUGCGUCCCUGGCGCCGUUAAAUGUCUGGGUAGGCGCCACCAGUGGACACCGAUUCAACAUAGCCAAGAACCCUAUGACCCUUUGCUAAGGCCUCUGGCAAAAAUAGGGAGGCUUCCCAUAUAAGGCGUGGAGGGAGGGAAUCCAACAUCCUUCUUGCUUAGUGGUAGACCUUCAACUCUGCCUAGCGAUCACAACAGAAACUGACAAGUGCGACGUACCUUCGUGGGAUUCUGUUUUGUAUUGUACAUCCAUAGGCCCUUAAGGAAGAGGAAAAUUUAGGCCUACUGAUAAUGGAGAUUGUCAAAAAGAGCAAGACACCAAUCUCGUGAUAAUAAAUGCAUGCAGAGAAAGGACACCGCGAUGGCCGACUUGGCGCUGAGAUCCGAAUCUCUCGGAUGGCAAAGGAACAUCGUUAUUAGUAUUCCUUAGAACAAAGCGCCGUUAAUUGCCAACAAGCCCAUGGACGCUGGCCGGCGACAAGCAGGGGCCGCCCACGCUCAGUUUACAGUUAACUUCACUUAGUUAUAUAAAGAUUGUAAAUGUAUGAUGGAGGUCAACAGUAUAAACAGGCCAGUACUUUAUCGUACAGUGUACCACUUUCCCUAACCAGUAAUGAAUACUGA